UGUGAAUCCAUGAGCACGAGAGAUCA
rnacentral:misc_RNA from 1 species